ACAGAGCAUUCUGCCCACAUCUUCAGGAGGCUCAGGGCCUCAGGAGGGCAGCAGCUGCAGCUGCAGCCUGUGGGUGGAAAUUCCAACAGCCUGGAAGGAGGUAUCAAAAACAAGGAGACUGUUUUGAAGGCCCCCUACUCUCUGACUACCCCCACCUAGCAGUAGGGAAGGCCUUGGACACACAGACCAAUCCCGGGGUAGAGGUGCAGAAUAGCUAAGUUCCCAGUGCAGGAAAAAAACCACCUGGUGACCCAGGAGAGUGGCAGGGGCUAGGCAACUUACCUACCACAGCUAGCCCAUGCUGACCUGCCCGGGAACCUUGAGGUUGGGGACAAUGGUGGCAACCUGCCCCCACAUGCUGGCUGCCUUUUAUCCUCGAGUAUUCCGAAAGCUAAACAGUUCUUCAAAUAUUUGAACACAUUGUGCUGCCUGAGAAAGGGUUAUACAGCAUAGUUUAUUUUUUAUCUACUCCUGAUAAAAUGAGUAUUAUCUUAUUUGCUACUUUAUCUGUUCCUGUCCUGGGUGGGGCUGGGAGCCUCAGAGAGGCCGCACCAAGGGUCUCUGCCUUUGGGGAGCUCACAGGCCAGCUGCCCACCCACUUCCUGCUUCUAUAGAUCAACCACCAUCCCUCCACCCUACCUGCAUACCCCAGAACCCCAAGGUCAGGCUGUCAUAAAAUGCCCUCUCCACUUCACCCACUAGGAGCAAGGCAAACUAAGGCCCCGGAAAAUGCCUGUGUCUCAACACAAACUCACAUGUUCCUAAGAGAGUUCGCUGUGCAGGGUCUAAAACAGGAGGCUCUUAGGAACAAUAGCCUGCUUCUUCCACUUGCUCUAAAUCAAACUCAUCAGCCGUGACCGCAGCCCAGCCCUGAGGGACGUCCAAUGCCUUAUCGGACAUCACUUAAUAUCUCUGUGCCCAGGUGCCCUGGGAACACAGAACAUGGCAUCCAGCCAGCACCACAUGGCUGCCCCAGCAGGAGGCAUAGGGGUAUAAGGAUCAGUGAUGGAGGCAUGCACAGAUCAGCUAUGGUAAAUCGGGGCUAUGACUCAGAGAUCUCCUCCAUACAUACCAAGUCUCAGACCAAUAACUGAUCUAUGAGAGGCCAGGACUGGGCCUAGAACCCUGGGCACCAGACCCACUCAGGCAUAGGCCUGAUAGUGAUGCUGUCCCCAGCCCUCAACCCCUCAUCAUUCCAUUGAGAAGGGCUAUGCUCUAUACAUGCAAAUAGCAGAGGGUCUGUUCCAGAGAGAGUGACCUUCAGCCUAGCCACCGUCACAUUUCCAGGGCCUAAAAUGUAACACUGAAACAUCUCAGGAGACUUUGAGUCAUUAUAUCUGCAUACAUGAUAAUAGUAUAAAGUGUCCUGAAAGUGUUGUUAGUAGAAAUGUCAUACACAAAAGGUCACUAGGAACGGGUGGACCUUGAGGACACUUGCUAAGAUAAGCCAGGAAUGAGAGGACACGCACUUUAGGAUACUUCUCUUCAGAGGCCCCUGGAGUUACCAGAUCUACCGAGACAGGAGGCAGAAUGGGAGGCCAGGGGCUCGGAACAGUUUCGAUCUAAAAAAAGAAAGUUCUGGAGAUAGGAACAGCUGCAUUCUGUGAGUGAGCUAUACCCUUCUGACGUAAGCACACAGACACAGUCAGCUGUGUUUCACCGUGGCUAAAAUAGAUUUAAGAAAGAAAACCAUGGGCUGGAGAGAUGGCUCCAUGACUAAAAGCACUUGCUGCUCUCCUAGAGGACCAGAGUUUCGUUUCCCAACACCCAUGAGCCAUGGGUGGCUCACAGCUGCCUUUGACUCUGGCUUCAGGGAAUCAGAUACCCUUGUUUGGCCUCUAUGGGUGCACCCAUGCAUGCAUGCACACAUGCACAUACAAAUUAAAAGAAAGAAAACCAAACAAAUGGCUUUGACAAUGGAAUGUGAGCAGGCCAAGCACACAGGCCAUGGGCUAUAAGUGAAGUUAUCAACAUUCAAAGGCCCCCUGGAGACAGCUCCCCACAGGCCAAUAAGUGCUCAGUGGGCUUCUUGGGCUGAACUAAAAUCCUAAGGUACCCAUGAGCAAAUAUAACACUCACAGACUAAAUUCCGGUAUAUGAGUCCCAAGUCCUGUCUAGGGGUGUGUGCUAGGGAGUUACUUGGAAAGAUUCCAAUCUAUCCCUCACAUAUGCUUCCUGGGAAGGGAAGCCUAGAGUGAGACCCUACUCACUCACUGCCCACCAACCACGCUCACUCCUGAACUCCCAGCUACCUGGCUUUAAGUUGGAUGUGGACAUGUCCCAGGAUACUGAACUUCUAGAGGGGACAGUAGAUUUAGGGCUAUCCCAGGAAAGAUUAGCACAUAAUGGUACCAACAGCAAAUGUCAGUUGUAUAGAGUUAGCAGGCAUUGGAAGACUCCAAGACUGCCAUUUAUUUCCUCAUAACAGCCCUUCCUAUGUGCUGUUCAGAGUAGAGCCUGGGCCAGGCCAUCUCCUGAAGGGACAUAUGUCAAUGCAUGCUGAAGGCUCAAUAUGUGCCAGAGGUUGGGCAUAAUUUCCCUUAUCUAAGCCUUGAGUAAAAGGAGUCCCAGGGUGAAGAGUCAUAGGUGAUGGCUUAUCUCAAGCUAUGCAUCUUCAGAAGUCUCUGAAUUGGGGGCAACAAGAUAAACACUGCAUAGGACACACACAGGGUCACAUGGACAGUAAGCUCAGUCUGGCCAUUUGGGUCCACAAUGCUCAGAAUGGGAGAGGCACAUGCUGUCCUGGGCUAUCUCACUUCCUCUAUCUGAAUGGCCACCUCCUUUUCUCUCAGAUCCCAUUGAACACCUCCUGGGAAGACAGUUGACCCUGGUUUUGGGUAUUCCAGACAUCCCAUGAUGGUGGACUCCCUCUUACACCCUCAAUGGUGGUGCUGGCCAAACUGGGACUCCACAUGCAAAAGAAGAAAGCUGGACUCUUAUACCUCACACCAUAACCUUACAUGUAAGGACUAAAACUGCCAAACCCUGAGAAGGAAGCCUAGAACAAAGGAUUCAAGAUACUGGAUUUAGCAAUGAUUUCCUUUAUAGGACACCAAAGGCUUGAGCCACUAAAGGAAAAACAGACCAUCAGACUUCAUGAAAAUGUAAACAAAUGCCACGUGGCAAAAGGUCAUAUCAACAAAAUGGGAGAUUUUCAGAUCACCUAUCUGAUAAGGGCUUAGUAUCUGAAAUAAACAGACUAACAUUCAAUCUCAAAAUAAAACAGCUGAUUUUAAACAUGGCCAAAAUUGACUAUAUAUUCAUCCUACCGACUGAUACACAGACGGUCAGUAAGCACAUGCAAAGAUGCUUGGCAUCUGAGUUUUGUUUCCUGUCCCUGUGAUAAAAUACUUUGACAAAAGCAACUUAAGUGGGGGAGGGCUGGAUAGAUGAACACACAGACAAUGCAGUGUAGAACAACCUGAGUUGUCCUUACAAAGGAUGAGAACCCAGCCAUAUGCUACAGAACAAAGGAGCCUUGAAAAUAACUGUCAGGUGAACUGAGUCAGUCACACAAAGACACACUGUGACUACACUGGAACAAGGUCCCUAGUGUCAGAUUGACAGAGGCAGAAAGCAUGAGGAGAUAGUGGGAGCUGAGGAGAGGAGUCAUCUUUUCAUUGGGUCAGGGUUUCAGUUUGGAAGACCAAAAGUUCUGGAGCUGGAUACUGGGGUGGCUUGCAGUGUGUUGAAUGUGUGUCACAACACCCAGCUGAGAACUUACAAUAGUAAGAUUAUGAAAUGCCCUCAAUCCCCAGUAAGUGCUGUGUGUUUGAGAAGAUUUAGAAUCCUUUAGGGGGUGAAGACUCACUGAAGAGAAUGAGCCACUGGGGGUGGGGCUUGAGAUUUAUAUCCUGGUCUAACAUCCUGUUUUGUCUGCAGGUCCACCAAGAUGUGAACAAGCAGCCUCAGGCUUCCACUGCCACAACCUCAAGCUGCUCCUGCAGCCACACCUUCCUUAUCAUGACAGAUUUUGUACCCUCAAACCACAAGCCACCACAAAAACUUCCUCUUCUAUGUCGCUUCUUGUCAGGCAUUUGCUCAUAGCAACUACGAAAUAGCUAGUGCAGGCCAGGACCACCUGCCUAGGGAAUGAUGGCGUCCACAGUGGGAUGGUUCCUCCUCCACCAACAAUCAAGACACCUACAGGCCAGUCUGAUCUGAGCAAUCAAUCCCUCAAAGGAGACACCCUUCUCAGGUGAUUCUAGGCUGUCAUGCUGGUAACUAAAGCUAACAAAGGCAACCAGAGUGCACCCUAUGUAUACAUAAGGCCUCAAGUAUGCUCACACAUGCAUACACACACACACCACUGGAGAGAAAAAAUCAUACAACCUUUUACACAAGAAAGUCCCUUUGAAAAAAGAUACUGAAGGACCUCCAGUUAGCCUCAUUAGCUUUACUUCAAUGAAUUAAUUUUAUUUUCUUCCUUGAAAUUCCCCAGUGUUCUCUGAUGAGCAUUUCUGGAUGUUAUGAUCAGAAGAACAAGCAGAAAACCAUGACUGCCCAUUUGGCAAGGAAGAUGUUCAGAGGUCUGCACAACAGGGGUGGCAUCACCACGAGUCUGAUUAGGGCAGUGGUGCAAGUGUCACCAUCUGUCCCUGGGUUCAGAAGAAUGGCAGACAUUAUUAUGUGACCUUUCUCUAGUUUAUCUGUCCAUUAUGGUUUGCCAAACUACCAGCUUAAAAAUGUUUUUGAUUAUCUGUAGCUAAAAGUCUAAUUUUUAGAAAUAAGAUUACCCAAGACUAAAAUUA